GCUCGGAGGGAUUGGAACGCUGGCUUCAGUCGGAGCCUCUGUCACAAUAUCGGAUGAUGUUGCUUCCCUGGCCAUGGAGCUAAUCCCCAAAUCUCAGCUGCAGGAACAGAGAGAAGGAUUCUGCUCCAGCCCUGCCCCUGGAGGGAGGUGGGGCUGUGACAGCGGCGACUCCAGGGCUGAAGGGCCGAGUCCAAGAGCCAGGCGCUGGCGCUGGGGCUGUUACAGACGGGCACGGUGCGGGAUGUAACGCACACUGACCAGGGCUGUGCACAAAGGGGUAACUCCUAAAGUAGCUGCUUUCCUCAGGAAGUUGUUGAAAUGGCAAAGCCACCCAUAGAAUACCAGCCUAUAGAGCUUGUCCAAUUCCUAUCACAGACACAGUUCCUUCUCCUUCAGCUGAAUUUCUAAAUCCAUCCCAAACCCAAACCGCUUCACAGCAAUUGACACCUGAUCUGUUAUUCAGAUUCAACAAUGAUACCUGCUCUGACAACUUGCUAACAAGCUUCUAUGACAACAGUCAACAUUCUGAACAGCCGUGGUCGAAGUCCAGGAACAAUCUGAAUGAACAAACUGAUGUGAAGGGCACGAUGGGUGAAAUGCUGGUGCCUCGUGCUGGCGUAAUCCUCCUCACAGACAGAAAUACGGAUGGACUGGGAAAUGCCCAUGGAAAGUGCUUGUACUAG
rnacentral:lncRNA from 1 species